rnacentral:misc_RNA from 1 species
GAUGAAGAACGCAGCGAAAUGCGAUAAGUAAUGUGAAUUGCAGAAUUCAGUGAAUCAUCGAAUCUUUGAACGCACCUUGCGCCCUUUGGCCAUUCCGAAGGGCAUGCCUGUUUGAGUAUCAUGAACACCUCAACUCUUUAUGGUUUUCCAUGAUGAGCUUGGACUCUGGGGGUUUUGCUGGCUCACAGUCGGCUCCUCUAAAAUGAAUCAGCUUACCAGUGUUUGGUGGGUAUCAUGGGUGUGAUAACUAUCUACGCUUGUGGUUUUUCCUCCAGGUAACCUUCAGCAGUGGAGGUUCGCUGGAGCUCAUAGAUGUCUCUCCUCAGUGAGGACAGCCCUUUGAAUGUUUGAUCUCAAAUCAGGUAGGACUACCCGCUGAACUUAAGCAUAUCAAUAGCGGAGGA